AUGGCUUUGCCUUCCUUUCUCUUGCAGAGGGAACAGCCAGCUGUUGGCAAUGCCCAGUUGCUGCUAGAAUCUGGACAUGUCUUCUUUCAGCUUCUCAGCAGUCUUGACCCUCUGAAAUACAGUGCCUCAUUGUCCUUAGGGGGUGUACUAGGGGGGCAGGGGAGUUGCCUGGGGCAUUCCGGGCUAUGGAGCCUCCCUGUUUCCAUGGAAAGUCUGGACUUUGGGCUUGCCUGUCUGUGGUGCCUCUGUGUGUUGGGCUGGGGUCAGGGCACCCAGCUGCCGGGCCCGCAGCAGAGGCAGCCCCAGGGAGUGAUGCUGUGUUCCGCGGCAGGGCCGGGUCUCCUCCUGGGCUGUGCACUAGAAUCUCGUUUGGCUGCACCAGAUGCCUGUCCUCCAAGGCACCACGGGCUUGGCCUCAGCAGCUCCAGUCCUCUCACUGGUCUUCUCCUUCGCCUGCAGUGAGCUUGCUUGGGGAGGUUCUUCGAAUACUCUCUUUCUGCCCCAGGUUUAU
rnacentral:lncRNA from 1 species